CGCGUCUUCCUUGUGGGCAAGGGGGGUCGCGACAACAGAUGAUGCCAAUUUGAGAAUAAGCAUUAGCCCCAGAGACAAGAUAACGUGAGUAGCUAAUCACGAGGAUCUCAUGAGAACUAGACCCCAUCAAAAAGCCUAUGGCAGAAAAAAAAUUAUUUUUCAUAGUAACACCUGUUCUCUGACUAAGGUAUAUAACUGCCCCUGCCAAGCAUCUAGGAUCAUUGUCCAAGAUGGCACACCUAUCAUAACUCAGUAACUUAGUAAUAAAAGAAAACAGGGAGAAAGUAAAUGAACAUAAUUAUAGAGUUUACCAAAGUUCUGUUUAAAUCCAUUAAGUGAAAAAAAAAAACAAGCAGCAUUGAAAUCUACCUGAAGAAUCAGAAGAUUGUUACUGCAUUGCUGUGUUUUACAGAAUGUAAACAGUACAAAAGACUGUAGGGACAGUUUAUGAUUGAGUGUAGUCACUGAUGUCCAUCAAAAGAAGUUCUCAACAAUACUUUCUCCUCUUUUGUGAGCUUCUGAGAAGAAUUGCAGCAUGCAGGCAGCUGCCCAUGGGUGAAGAAAGGAGGAAUUUGCAGAGAUGGAGUUCCAGCUUUUUGUCUGCUUAACUCAAUGUUCUGACCCAGGUUGUGGAAUCCCAAGUCUUGGCUCAAAGUGAUUAAGAUCAAAAGUGUUAAGGACAUCUGAAGGAAAGCCAUGAGUUGGUAUCCAUGGCACAGCUAAGAAGGAAAGAUUUCAACGGAUGCAAUAUAUACCAGUGUUCACAGGUUAUGCAAGGAAGAAGCUGGUGAAGAGAUUUCUCCUGCUUGGACAGAUGGUAAAAGAGCUAGGAAUAGUGUGGGUGUUCAUGCCCUCCCAGUACAUUUGGCCUGCCUCUGUGUUCCCCUGCAACUGAGCUAGGUAUUGUCAAGGACCCACAUCUCUCUCCUCUGACUGAGUGCUUUCUUUUGCAUGGGGGAGCUUAGUCAGUACUCUUAAAGAACGUUCAAAACUCGACCGAUGACUAAUGAGGGUUGGUGGAUGAAUACCCGGGUUUCUCAUGGACUGAUGGGAUAAUUCUAGGUACUACAAACCUCUGAGAAGACGCUGGAAGAAUGGAAUCACAAUUCCAUAUGUGAUCGUAUAUUCACAAAUACCCCACCAGCCUUUGUGACUCUUCUGCUAAUCUCAUGUGCACUUCCUAGAAUCGAUUCCUAAACAAACCACCAGAACCCAAGCCCUUUGUUGCAGGGUCUACUUUGGAGGAAACCCAACCUAACACAACAGGCUUUGGAAUCAGAUAAAUCCUAAUUCUCCUUGAAUCAUUUAGUAGUUGCCUGGCCUUGAACAAGUAGCUUCUUUUUAGAGUUCAGUGUCCUUGUCUGCAGAAUGUGGGUGAUUGUAGCUCGACUUAUUUCAUAGGACUAUGUUGAAGAUUAAAGAAGAUGUAAACCACAGAGCACCUGGUGUUUGAUAGUUCAUAAAUAAAUGCUGGCCAUUCUGAUUGUGAUUUUUCUUUUUAUUUAUUUAUUUAUUUAGGCACAGGGUAACCCAGCAGUAUUUAUCCGUUGAGC
ensembl:lincRNA